GACGAACGCUGGCGGCGUGCUUAACACAUGCAAGUCGAACGGAAAGGCCCUUCGGGGUACUCGAGUGGCGAACGGGUGAGUAACACGUGGGUGAUCUGCCCUGCACUUUGGGAUAAGCCUGGGAAACUGGGUCUAAUACCGAAUAUGAUCAUCGGCUUCAUGGUCGGUGGUGGAAAGCUUUUGCGGUGUGGGAUGGGCCCGCGGCCUAUCAGCUUGUUGGUGGGGUAAUGGCCUACCAAGGCGACGACGGGUAGCCGGCCUGAGAGGGUGACCGGCCACACUGGGACUGAGAUACGGCCCAGACUCCUACGGGAGGCAGCAGUGGGGAAUAUUGCACACUGGGCGCAAGCCUGAUGCAGCGACGCCGCGUGAGGGAUGACGGCCUUCGGGUUGUAAACCUCUUUCAGCACAGACGAAGCGCAAGUGACGGUAUGUGCAGAAGAAGGACCGGCCAACUACGUG
rnacentral:rRNA from 1 species